AACGAACGCUGGCGGCAUGCCUAACACAUGCAAGUCGAACGAGACCUUCGGGUCUAGUGGCGCACGGGUGCGUAACGCGUGGGAACCUGCCUUUAGGUUCCGAAUAACUCAGAGAAAUUUGAGCUAAUACCGGAUGAUGUCUUCGGACCAAAGAUUUAUCGCCUUUAGAUGGGCCCGCGUUGGAUUAGCUAGUUGGUGGGGUAAAGGCCUACCAAGGCGACGAUCCAUAGCUGGUCUGAGAGGAUGAUCAGCCACACUGGGACUGAGACACGGCCCAGACUCCUACGGGAGGCAGCAGUGGGGAAUAUUGGACAAUGGGCGAAAGCCUGAUCCAGCAAUGCCGCGUGAGUGAUGAAGGCCUUAGGGUUGUAAAGCUCUUUUACCCGAGAUGAUAAUGACAGUAUCGGGAGAAUAAGCUCCGGCUAACUCCGUG
rnacentral:rRNA from 1 species